GUAGCUCAGUGGUAAAGCACUUGCCUAGCAUGCUUGAGGCCCUGGGUUCAAUCCCCAGC
rnacentral:tRNA from 1 species